rnacentral:rRNA from 1 species
GCGGAAUGCGUGGUGUAGCGGUGAAAUGCAUAGAUAUCACGCAGAACCCCGAUUGCGAAGGCAGCCUGCCAAGCCAUGACUGACGCUGAUGCACGAAAGCGUGGGGAUCAAACAGGAUUAGAUACCCUGGUAGUCCACGCAGUAAACGAUGAUCACUAGCUGUUUGCGAUACACAGUAAGCGGCACAGCGAAAGCGUUAAGUGAUCCACCUGGGGAGUACGCCGGCAACGGUGAAACUCAAAGGAAUUGACGGGGGCCCGCACAAGCGGAGGAACAUGUGGUUUAAUUCGAUGAUACGCGAGGAACCUUACCCGGGUUUGAACGCAUUCGGACCGAGGUGGAAACACCUUUUCUAGCAAUAGCCGUUUGCGAGGUGCUGCAUGGUUGUCGUCAGCUCGUGCCGUGAGGUGUCGGCUUAAGUGCCAUAACGAGCGCAACCCUUGCCACUAGUUACUAACAGGUGAUGCUGAGGACUCUGGUGGGACUGCCAGCGUAAGCUGCGAGGAAGGCGGGGAUGACGUCAAAUCAGCACGGCCCUUACAUCCGGGGCGACACACGUGUUACAAUGGCGUGGACAAAGGGAGGCCACCUGGCGACAGGGAGCGAAUCCCCAAACCACGUCUCAGUUCGGAUCGGAGUCUGCAACCCGACUCCGUGAAGCUGGAUUCGCUAGUAAUCGCGCAUCAGCCAUGGCGCGGUGAAUACGUUCCCGGGCCUUGUACACACCGCCCGUCAAGCCAUGGGAGCCGGGGGUACCUGAAGUCCGUAACCGCGAGGAUCGGCCUAGGGUAAAACUGGUGACUGGGGCUAA